rnacentral:tRNA from 1 species
GCGAAAGUGGCGGAACUGGCAGACGCGCCAGCCUUAGGAGCUGGUGGCCGAGAGGCCGUGGGGGUUCGAGUCCCCCCUUUCGCA